GUCUACGGCCAUGCUACCCUGAACGAGCCUGAUCUUGUCUGAUCUCGGAAGCUAAGCAGAGUCGGGCCUGGUCAGUACUUGGAUGGGAGACUACCUAGGAAGACCAGGCACUGUAGGUG
rnacentral:rRNA from 1 species